rnacentral:rRNA from 1 species
AGCGAACGCUGGCGGCAGGCUUAACACAUGCAAGUCGAGCGCCCCGCAAGGGGAGCGGCAGACGGGAGAGUAACACGUGGGAACGUACCUUUUGGUUCGGAACAACUGAGGGAAACUUCAGCUAAUACCGGAUAAGCCCUUACGGGGAAAGAUUUAUCGCCAAAAGAUCGGCCCGCGUCUGAUUAGCUAGUUGGUGAGGUAACGGCUCACCAAGGCGACGAUCAGUAGCUGGUCUGAGAGGAUGAUCAGCCUCAUUGGGACUGAGACGCGGCCCAAACUCCUACGGGAGGCAGCAGUGGGGAAUAUUGGACAAUGGGCGCAAGCCUGAUCCAGCCAUGCCGCGUGGAUGAUGAAGGCCCUAGGGUUGUAAAGUCCUUUCGACGGGAAGAUAAUGACGGUACCGCAAGAAUAAG